AUGGCCGGAAAGAUCUCAAGCUCGUCCCCGGCUUGUACGCCUUCAUCGUCUGCGUUGCUGCCACGGGGAGAGAGUCAUGGCACUCGACGUCGUCUCCUUCGUCCACGCACGCGUCCACGAGCCUCGGAUCGACCUCCCCGACGACCUCUUCUUCCCCUGCUUCCUCUGCUUCACGGACGCCAAGCCAGAGGCCUCUUCUCGUCGCUGACCUCUCCUUCUUCCUCAGGUCUACCUCGUCGCUGGCUAAAUUCGUCGCAUCCCCAAGCUCGAUCGACCCCUCCGAGCCCCUGUAUGUGA
rnacentral:rRNA from 1 species